GAUGAACGCUGACAGAAUGCUUAACACAUGCAAGUCAACUUGAACUUCGGUUUGGGUGGCGGACGGGUGAGUAACGCGUAAAGAACUUGCCUCACAGCUAGGGACAACAUUUGGAAACGAAUGCUAAUACCUGAUAUUAUGAUUUUAGGGCAUCCUAGAAUUAUGAAAGCUAUAUGCGCUGUGAGAGAGCUUUGCGUCCCAUUAGCUAGUUGGAGAGGUAACGGCUCACCAAGGCGAUGAUGGGUAGCCGGCCUGAGAGGGUGAACGGCCACAAGGGGACUGAGACACGGCCCUUACUCCUACGGGAGGCAGCAGUGGGGAAUAUUGGACAAUGGACCAAGAGUCUGGUCCAGAAAUUCUGUGUGCACGAUGAAGUUUUUCGGAAUGUAAAGUGCUUUCAGUUGGGAAGAAAAAAAUGACGGUACCAACAGAAGAAGUGACGGCUAAAUACGUG
rnacentral:rRNA from 1 species